UCGGGCUGCGGAACACCUUACUUACUGAACGUUUAACACGCUUUGUGGACUAAUCUCAUGGACUCGUCCAUAGACCACAGCGUACCUCGUUAAGCACGCUGUUUAUACAAACAUCCACAUAUCUUCUCUUUACAUAAAGAGCUCUUCCAUUGUCUCUCGCUUUA
rnacentral:rRNA from 1 species